rnacentral:rRNA from 1 species
AGAGUUUGAUCCUGGCUCAGAUUGAACGCUGGCGGAAUGCUUUACACAUGCAAGUCGAACGGCAGCACGGACUUCGGUCUGGUGGCGAGUGGCGAACGGGUGAGUAAUAUAUCGGAACGUGCCCAGUCGUGGGGGAUAACGUAGUGAAAAUUACGCUAAUACCGCAUACGAUCUAAGGAUGAAAGCGGGGGAUCGCAAGACCUCGCGCGACUGGAGCGGCCGAUAUCAGAUUAGGUAGUUGGUAGGGUAAAGGCCUACCAAGCCAACGAUCUGUAGCUGGUCUGAGAGGACGACCAGCCACACUGGAACUGAGACACGGUCCAGACUCCUACGGGAGGCAGCAGUGGGGAAUUUUGGACAAUGGGCGAAAGCCUGAUCCAGCCAUUCCGCGUGCAGGAUGAAGGCCCUCGGGUUGUAAACUGCUUUUGUACAGAACGAAAAGGUUUCUACUAAUACUAGGGGCUCAUGACGGUACUGUAAGAAUAAGCACCGGCUAACUACGUGCCAGCAGCCGCGGUAAUACGUAGGGUGCAAGCGUUAAUCGGAAUUACUGGGCGUAAAGCGUGCGCAGGCGGUUAUAUAAGUCAGAUGUGAAAUCCCCGGGCUCAACCUGGGAACUGCAUUUGAGACUGUAUAGCUAGAGUACGGUAGAGGGGGAUGGAAUUCCGCGUGUAGCAGUGAAAUGCGUAGAUAUGCGGAGGAACACCGAUGGCGAAGGCAAUCCCCUGGACCUGUACUGACGCUCAUGCACGAAAGCGUGGGGAGCAAACAGGAUUAGAUACCCUGGUAGUCCACGCCCUAAACGAUGUCAACUGGUUGUUGGGUCUUAACUGACUCAGUAACGAAGCUAACGCGUGAAGUUGACCGCCUGGGGAGUACGGCCGCAGGUUGAAACUCAAAGGAAUUGACGGGACCCGCACAGGCAGUGGAUGAUGUG